AAGCAAAUUAAGAAGACAGAACAUACAACUAAUAUUAUUUUAUUUAUGUGAAUCAUCAUAGAUGUGCGCAAGGUAUCCUCAAUAACCGAAACAAAGAUGAGUACAGAAAUAUAUGGUACCAGUAAAAGAUUAUUCACAUGAUCAUCCAAGCAAAACAUGUAGGAUAAUAGCAAAAUGCUACCCAGGAACAUCAUGACAUUAACAGUGAAAUUAAUAAUAGGAUGAAGGAGAUUAUACCCUGCGGCAGAACCGCUCGCACCGGGAAAAGUCAUGGUGGUGCUUUGUCG
rnacentral:lncRNA from 1 species